UACGUAGGGACCAAGCGUUGUUCGGAAUUACUGGGCGUAAAGGGCGCGUAGGCGGCACGACAAGUCGGGAGUGAAAGCCCGGGGCUCAACCCCGGAACGUCUCUCGAAACUGUCGAGCUAGAGUGCGGAAGAGGCAACUGGAAUUCCCAGUGUAGCGGUGAAAUGCGUAGAUAUUGGGAAGAACACCUGAGGCGAAGGCGGGUUGCUGGGCCGACACUGACGCUGAGGCGCGAAAGCCAGGGGAGCGAACGGG
rnacentral:rRNA from 1 species